rnacentral:rRNA from 1 species
CAGCAGCCGCGGUAAUACGGAGGGUGCAAGCGUUAUCCGGAUUUAUUGGGUUUAAAGGGUCCGUAGGCGGAUCUGUAAGUCAGUGGUGAAAUCUCACAGCUUAACUGUGAAACUGCCAUUGAUACUGCAGGUCUUGAGUAAAUUUGAAGUGGCUGGAAUAAGUAGUGUAGCGGUGAAAUGCAUAGAUAUUACUUAGAACACCAAUUGCGAAGGCAGGUCACUAAGAUUUAACUGACGCUGAUGGACGAAAGCGUGGGGAGCGAACAGGAUUAGAGACCCCUGUAGUCCCUGUCUCUUAUAC